rnacentral:rRNA from 1 species
GGAGUUAGCCGGUGCUUCUUCUGUGAGUGAUGUCCUUCCUGCCGGUUAUUGACCCGCAGGCCUUCUUCCUCACUGAAAGUGCUUUACAACCCGAAGGCCUUCUUCACACACGCGGCAUGGCUGGAUCAGGGUUGCCCCCAUUGUCCAAUAUUCCCCACUGCUGCCUCCCGUAGGAGUCUGGGCCGUGUCUCAGUCCCAGUGUGGCUGAUCAUCCUCUCAGACCAGCUACGGAUCGUCGCCUUGGUGAGCCGUUACCUCACCAACCAGCUAAUCCGACAUAGGCUCAUCCGAUAGCGCGAGGCCCGAAGGUCCCCCGCUUUCCCCCGUAGGGCGUAUGCGGUAUUAGCCUGGGUUUCCCCAGGUUAUCCCCCACUACCGGGCAGAUUCCUAUGCAUUACUCACCCGUCCGCCGCUCGCCACCAGGGAGCAAGCUCCCCGUGCUGCCGCUCGACUUGCAUGUGUUAGGCCUGCCGCCAGCGUUACAAUCUGACGCCGAGGACUACAAACUCUGA